UACUGAGGGGGCUAGCGUUGUUCGGAAUUACUGGGCGUAAAGCGCACGUAGGUGGCUUUGUAAGUUAGAGGUGAAAGCCCGGGGCUCAACCCCGGCAUUGCCCUUAAGACUGCAUCGCUAGAAUUGUGGAGAGGUGAGUGGAAUUCCGAGUGUAGAGGUGAAAGUCGUAGAUAUUCGGAAGAACACCAGUGGCGAAGGCGACUCACUGGACACAUCUUGACACUGAGGUGCGAAAGCGUGGGGAGCAAACAGG
rnacentral:rRNA from 1 species